rfam:Strongylocentrotus purpuratus Contig96056_fixed, whole genome shotgun sequence.
GUCAUGGUGGCUCAGUGGUUAGAGCGCUCGCCUCAUGAACGGGAGGUCGUGGGUUCGAACCCCAGCCGAGUCA